GACGAACGCUGGCGGCGUGCCUAAUACAUGCAAGUCGAACGAAGUGGGGACGAGGGAGUAACCCGUGGGUAACCUCCCAUCAGAGGGGAUAACACUUGGAAACAGGUGCUAAACCGAUACUGAUGGAUGGACCCGCGGUGCAUUAGCUAUUUGGUGAGGUAACGGCCCACCAAGGCCACGAUGCAUGGCCGACCUGAGAGGGGGAUCGGUCACACUGGGACUGAGACACGGCCCAGACUCCGACGGGAGGCAGCAGUAGGGAAUAGUCGGCAAUGGACGCAAGUCUGACCGAGCAACGCCGCGUGAGUGAAGAAGGUUUUCGGAUCGUAAAACUCUGUUGUUAGAGAAGCGGUAUCUAACCAGAAAGCCACGGCUAACUACGUGCCAGCAGCCGCGGUAAUAC
rnacentral:rRNA from 1 species